UACGAAGGGUGCUAGCGUUGUUCGGAAUUACUGGGCGUAAAGCGCGCGUAGGCGGCUUUUCAAGUCAGGGGUGAAAUCCUGGGGCUUAACCCCAGAAUUGCCUCUGAAACUGAAAAGCUAGAGUGUCGGAGGGGAUAGCGGAAUUGCUAAUGUAGAGGUGAAAUUCGUAGAUAUUAGGAGGAACACCGGUGGCGAAGGCGGCUAUCUGGACGAUUACUGACGCUCUGGCACGAAAGUGUGGGGAUCAAACAGG
rnacentral:rRNA from 1 species